AACGUAGGAGGCUAGCGUUAUCCGGAUUUAUUGGGCGUAAAGCGCGUGCAGGCGGUUUGAUAAGUUGGAUGUGAAAUCUCCCGGCUUAACUGGGAGCGGUCGUUCAAAACUAUCAGACUAGAGAAUGGGAGAGGAAGGUGGAAUUCCGGGUGUAGUGGUGAAAUGCGUAGACAUCCGGAGGAACACCAGUGGCGAAAGCGGCCUUCUAGACCAUUUCUGACGCUAAGACGCGAAAGCUAGGGUAGCAAACGGG
rnacentral:rRNA from 1 species